GCACAAGCGGUGGAUCAUGUUGUUUAAUUCGAUGAUACGCGAAGAACCUUACCAGGUCUUGACAUCCCCCGCGAUGCUUUAGAGAUAAAGCGGAGGUAUUCGGGGAGACAGGUGGUGCAUGGUUGUCGUCAGCUCGUGUCGUGAGAUGUUGGGUUAAGUCCCGCAACGAGCGCAACCCCUAUUGCUAGUUACCAUCAUUAAGUUGGGGACUCUAGCGAGACUGCCAGUGAUAAACUGGAGGAAGGUGGGGAUGACGUCAAAUCAUCAUGCCCCUUAUGACCUGGGCUACAAACGUGAUACAAUGGCUGGUACAGAGCGCAGCGAAGCCGCGAGGCAAAGCGAAUCGCAAAAAGCCGGUCUCAGUACGGAUUGGAGUCUGAAACCCGACUCCAUGAAGUUGGAAUCGCUAGUAAUCGCGCAUCAGCAUGGCGCGGUGAAUACGUUCCCGGGCCUU
rnacentral:rRNA from 1 species